rnacentral:rRNA from 1 species
UACAGAGACUGCAAGCGUUAUUCGGAUUCACUGGGCGUAAAGGGUGCGCAGGCGGCCGUGUGUGUGAGGCGUGAAAGCCCGGGGCUCAACCCCGGAAUUGCACCUCAAACUACAUGGCUAGAGCAUUGGAGAGGGAAGCGGAAUUCACGGUGUAGCAGUGAAAUGCGUAGAUAUCGUGAGGAACACCAGAGGCGAAGGCGGCUUCCUGGACCACA